CCCCGCCGGGCGGGCACAGGAGACCCAGCGCGUGCGCAGCGCAGCCCCACCCCUCCUUGCCUCGCUGCCGGGGCCGGCGCCCAGACCAAACCUUACGGGGCCGCAGCGGCUCACCGGAAGGAACUAAGCAGAGCUGCUUCCGCAGCGACUGAAGUUCCGGGUGUACCGCGGUGCAGGGAUGUUGUCAAGAUCCAGUGGUAAAUUAGGGAAAGUAGUUAAACAUGCUCUUAGCUUUAACCUCAGCACAAUAAAUAAAAUCAAGGAUUACGGAUCUGAAAUCUUUCUAAAUUAAAUAUCGCUUGAAUUAUAGUUUAAUCUAAUGCAGAGCAAAAGGAGUAGAGGAGCAUUGUUGUCACUGCUAGUGACACCUCUCCAGGGUCUUGAGAUGACAACAGUGGAUCAGCGUGUUUCAUGUCUGUAGAGGACAGUGGGGAUAAGGACUAGGUUGUGCGCAUGGAUCUUGGUGUCUUUCUGCUUGGUUUCACGAUCAACAAAACAUGCUUAAGCAAUUUUCCAAAGGAGGCACGUGCGCUGAACCCUGUGCUGGAUCUCCUCAUCGGUGUUCACUCUCUGAGAGAGGUGGCUAUGGAGCUGUAUUCGAAAUCAAAAGAACAACAGGAUUUGACGCUGUGAUCCCCAAAUGGAUGAAGGCACCUCCCUGUAGCCCUGAAUCAGGCAUCUAAGCUCCAGUGAGAGGUAGUUUAUCUAGACUCUUUGACCUAGAAUGAUGUCUGAGACGCUCAUGAGAAGAAGUUUUUGCAGAUCAGGAGAAGCUUUUUAUUUUCCAGGAGCUUUGGACAAGUCAGAGGGACUUCUGGGCAUCAUCCUCAUAAUGAUGGAUUAUGGAUCUCAUGUGGGCAUUGCAAGCCUACAGUUGUGUUUAUGUCCUUGAAUACAACAACGCCCCUGCUUCACAAAAAACAUUCAUACAGUUACACAGGGCUGUGUCACUCACAUUAAUGUUAAUGAAAUUUACUGCCCCAUCAUCCAACAGAGAUGGGCAUACUGCAGCAUUUAGCAUUUGUGUCCAAUCUCAUCGCUUAGGUUCAUUGUUCAAAAUGCAGUUACAGCUUCCACUGGUACUAAAUAUUUCACUGAAUUUUUUAAACCUGAAAAAGAUAAGGAAUUGUCUUUAUAUGUAGCCAGAUUUGGAUAGAAUUAUAUGCGUGUGUGUGUCGCUUAGCAUAAAGAUAAAAUAAUAGGUGUGAUAAUGCUAAUUAAAAGUCCAUGAGUAAGUUAACUACUUAUAAGACCUUAACUAAUGGUUUGUACUAAUGUAAACCACUGUGUUGCCCUAAGAAUUUUGAAGGCUAAAAAAAUAAAGCAUUAUGAAAGACUUGGUAUGGGUUGGGGCAUUCAGGGUCUUUAAUAAUAAAUAAUCUAGACGUUUGUGUUUGAAUACUGAAGGGAGCUUCAGCUAAUGCCACAGCUUGCUUGCCAAACUCACUGUGCACUUGUCAGCAAUCAAACUACCCUGGAUAACAUUUAACAAAUGUCCAUGCUGUCCUGAUUCAAAACAAAGGCGACAUUCAUUUGGGGCUGGCAUGGUUACCUGCUAAACAACGUGGACAAUGUUAUUUCUCCAAAAUUGUUAUUUCUUCACUAUAAUCAUAGGACAGUUACCAUGCAACCUGUGGUGAUAAUAUCAUAUCUAGUCUCAAAAUAUGCGUUGAAAGAAUGCAGCAACUUGUAAGGAGCAUCUCAACUAAUAUUUAUAAUCUCUUAGGUCAGGACAUUAGAUAUAGGUCAUGUUUUCCUUGUCCUUUGUUUUGUUGUUUCCUUCAUGUAAGGAACAUCAUAUAACCACAUCAGUAAGAAGAUUAGAGCUGAGACUGAUUCACCUUCCUUCACUCACUCUGCUGUGUCUGGGAACUGCAGAAUUCAACGACAUGUCUGGGACCUUAUGAGCUACGGUGCUUAGGCAAAACAAGAUGGACUGAGGAUAGGCUAUCAGCCUUUGUAGAUAUCGCUUCCCUAAGUUCUGUCAGUGUCACAAAUUGUUCAUUCUUACAUACAAAAUAACUAUCUCCCUUCUGUAUAAAAUACUACAGUAUUUUACUAUAGUCACCUCAAACACUUCAGUAUCUGAAUAAAGAAAUAUCAGAAGGUAUAAUUUUUGGACCAUUGCCCUAAACCACCCUACUACUUUCAUAUAUGUGAUUAAGUGUAAUUUUUACUUUGAUAAAACAGCUACAAUUUUAAGAGCAAAAGUAAGGCAGGAU